rnacentral:misc_RNA from 1 species
AAGAACAGCAUUGGCAACAUCAGUGGCUUCAGCUCUAGUUGGUCGGGGUGACUUGAUCAUGGACUCCAACAUCUGGGUUGCAGUAACAACGGGUUUUCCUUGAAUAUUGCACUUGUAGAUCAUCACUUUCUGUGCUAGAAAAAUCUUUUCAAUUGGAAUUUCCAUUCCAAGGUCACCACGUGCAACCAUAAAUGCAUCUGAAUUUGCUAAGAUAUCAUCAAAAUUAGCAACCCCUUCUUGGUUUUCAACCUUUGACAUGAGAAGGAUAUUCUUAGCAUUUUUCCCGAGCAACUUCCGUACUUCAACGAGAUCUGAUCCUUUUCGUACAAAAGAUAGAGCAAUCAUGUCAAUUUGAUUGGGAACUCCCCACUUCAAAAUAUCUUCCUUGUCUUUCUCUGUCAAAGUUGGAAGAUCCACUAUCACUCCAGGAAGAUUAACAUUUUUCCUCUCACCGAGAACUGCAGAGUUCUCACACCGACAUCGAACCAAACCCGCUUUAAUGUCACAUGAUAGAACUGUAAAUGAGAUUGUGCCGUCUGCACAAAGUAUAACCAUCCCAGGCUUGACAUCCACAGCCAACUUUUUGUAGCUCAUGCAAAUCAUAUUCUCAUUGCCUUUUAUGCUGUAGUCAGUAGAUAUAGUGAUUUCUUGACCCUGCUUAAGCUGAAUGGGUUUGCCAUCCUUCAAGAACCCAGUUCGAAUUUCUGGUCCCUUGGUGUCAAGCAUGACAGCACAGAGAAUACCAGUGUUAACCAUGGCGGCCCUGAGAUUGUCAAGGGUUUCCUGGUGGUACUCAUGAGAUCCAUGAGAGAAGUUAAAGCGAGCGACGUUCAUGCCAGCCUUCAACAGCUUUUCGAUCAUAGGCACAGAUCUGGAUGCGGGUCCAAGGGUGCAAACAAUCUUCGUCUUGGGCUUCUUCUCCAUUAUAACAGCCUCUGCUUCGCCGUUGUUCAUUUCUGAUAUCACUAAAAAAUGGCUCUCUAUAUAUAUAUAUUGGCAAAAGGGUACAAAAAAGAAGGAAAACAAUAAGACCCGGAUUGUUAUCGCGGAAGAUGGAGAGAGCUGUGUACGUGAGAGAUAUAAGAAGGGAGUUAGAGACUUAGAAAGCGAAAGAAAAGAGAUGGGUUAUGUGAUUGGCAAGGGAAAGGUUUGAUUUUUAAGAAGACAACUAGUAUUCCUUGAGGAAGAAGACGUAAAAUAAGGGCAAGGAUUCGAGAGCUCUUGCGGCAGCAUUUGGUUUGGGCCUCGGUUUUUUUAUGAAACGACAGGCAGUUUCCAAAUGGUUUGGGCAACCAUAAAAAGGAGUUUUA